AGGACAAUGCAGGGUCCAGUAAGGAAAGCUUGGAUUCACAGCAAAAACACUGUGUCUGCCUAGGUUUAGGCUGUUUUCUGGGAUGGACACUACCUGAAAUUCAACAUGUAUGCUUAAUAACCAUGGCAGUUCUGAAGGGAGCAGAAUCCAUUUCAGGGGGAAGGAUUUAAAACCAGAAAAGAAAUGGUGAAAAUAGAGCAAGACUAAUGUCAAUGUAGCUUUCUAUAAACAUGGAACACAAAAGAUCUACUACCACAACCAUGAAGAAAAACAAGUAAACAGGUACUCUGUUCCUGAUAACACCAGAGCCCAAACAAGGAGAUAUGAAUCUCAGGCAUUUCUUGAUCCUGAAGAAGUACAAUCGCAAAGAAUGUAGGCUUGAACCAAUCCCUCACCCUGAAAAAAACCCAGGUCCAUAAAAAAGAGAUGUAGGCCAGGGCUAGUUCCUCACCUUCAAGCACCCAGGGCCCAAAUGAAGAGGAAUGUGUGCCUAGGCCAUUCACUGAUCCUGAAAAGGCUCUGGCCCAAAGCAAGGUAUGAUAUGGGCCUGGGCCUAUUCCUAAAUCUGAAGAGACCUAGGCCCAAAGAAGAAGAAAUGUGGGCCUGAGCCAAUCCCUGACCCUGAAUAA
ensembl:lincRNA Gm35386 predicted gene, 35386